UGAAUACGAAAUGCUACGGCAUUGAAGUGAUCUAUGCCAUGCUUCCAAGAAAAUCUCGUCAUAUCUUAAACAAUAGAUGCCUGUACCUUAAACCGACACAGGUAGGUAGGUAGAGUAUACCAAGGGGCGCGAGAUAACUCUCUCUAAGGAACUCGGCAAAAUAACCUCGUAACUUCGGAAGAAGAGGUACCCUUGAAAAAGGGUUGCAAUAACCAGACCCUGGCGACUGUUUACCAAAAACACAGGUCUCCGCUAAUUCGUAAGAUCAAGUAUGGAGGCUGACGCCUGCCCAGUGCCGGAAGGUUAAAGAAGUUGGUCAAUCUUUGGAUGAAGCUGGCGACUGAAGCCCCGGUGAACGGCGGCCGUAACAAUAACGGUCCUAAGGUAGCGAAGUUCCUUGUCGGGUAAGUUCCGACCCGCACGAAAGGCGUAACGAUCAGGGUGCUGUCUCGGAGAGAGACUCGGCGAAAUAAACAUGUCUGUGAAGAUGCGGACUACCUGCACCUGGACAGAAAGACCCUAUGAAGCUUUACUGUAUCUUGGAAUUGGGUUUGGGCCUUGCUUGCGCAGGAUAGGUGGGAGGCUAUGAAAAUAUUCUUGCGGGAAUGUUGGAGCCAACGGUGAGAUACCACUCUAGUAAGGCUAAAAUUCUAACUCUGAACCGUUAUCCGGUCAGAGAACAGUUUCAGGUGGGCAGUUUGACUGGGGCGGUCGCCUCCCUAAAGGUAACGGAGGCGCGCAAAGGUUCCCUCAGGCUGGUUGGACAUCAGUCGUAGAGUGUAAAGGCAUAAGGGAGCUUGACUGCGAGACCCACAAGUCGAGCAGAGACGAAAGUCGGCCUUAGUGAUCCGACGGUUCCACGUGGAAGGGCCGUCGCUCAACGGAUAAAAGUUACUCUAAGGACAACAGGCUGAUCUCCCCCAAGAGUUCACAUCGACGGGGAGGUUUGGCACCUCGAUGUCGGCUCAUCGCAUCCUGGGGCGGUAGUACGUCCCAAGGGUUGGGCUGUUCGCCCAUGAAAGCGGUACGCGAGCUGGGUUCAGAACGUCGUGAGACAGUUCGGUCCAUAUCCGGUGCAGGCGUUAGAGCAUUGAAAGGAGUCCCCCUUAGUACGAGAGGACCGGGGGGAAUACACCGCUGGUGUACCAGUUAUCGUGCCAACGGUAAACGCUGGGUAGCCAUGUGUAGCGUGGAUAACUGCUGAAAGCAUCUAAGUAGGAAGCCCACCUUAAGAUGAGUGCUCUCACCGCUAUAAGCGGGUAAGGUCACGGUAAGAACAACCGUUAUAUAGGCAUUAAGUAUACGUGCAGUAAUGCAUUUAGCUAAGAUGUACUAACAGACCGAGGGCUUGAUU
rnacentral:rRNA from 1 species